rnacentral:rRNA from 1 species
CCUACGGGUGGCAGCAGUGGGGAAUAUUGCACAAUGGGCGCAAGCCUGAUGCAGCGACGCCGCGUGAGGGAUGAAGGCCUUCGGGUUGUAAACCUCUUUCAGCAGGGAAGAAGCGAAAGUGACGGUACCUGCAGAAGAAGCACCGGCUAACUAGGUGCCAGCAGCCGCGGCAAUACGUAGGGUGCGAGCGUUGUCCGGAAUUAUUGGGCGUAAAGAGCUUGUAGGCGGUUUGUCGCGUCUGCUGUGAAAACUCGAGGCUUAACCUCGAGCUUGCAGUGGGUACGGGCAGACUAGAGUGUGGUAGGGGAGACUGGAAUUCCUGGUGUAGCGGUGAAAUGCGCAGAUAUCAGGAGGAACACCGAUGGCGAAGGCAGGUCUCUGGGCCACUACUGACGCUGAGAAGCGAAAGCAUGGGGAGCGAACAGGAUUAGAUACCCCCGUAGUC